rnacentral:rRNA from 1 species
CUGGCGGCGUGCCUAAUACAUGCAAGUAGAACGCUGAAGAGAGGAGCUUGCUCUUCUUGGAUGAGUUGCGAACGGGUGAGUAACGCGUAGGUAACCUGCCUUGUAGCGGGGGAUAACUAUUGGAAACGAUAGCUAAUACCGCAUAACAAUGGAUGACACAUGUCAUUUAUUUGAAAGGGGCAAAUGCUCCACUACAAGAUGGACCUGCGUUGUAUUAGCUAGUAGGUGAGGUAACGGCUCACCUAGGCGACGAUACAUAGCCGACCUGAGAGGGUGAUCGGCCACACUGGGACUAAGACACGGCCCAGACUCCUACGGGAGGCAGCAGUAGGGAAUCUUCGGCAAUGGGGGCAACCCUGACCGAGCAACGCCGCGCGAGUGAAGAAGGUUUUCGGAUCGUAAAGCUCUGUUGUAAGUCAAGAACGAGUGUGAGAGUGGAAAGUUCACACUGUGACGGUAGCUUACCAGAAAGGGACGGCUAACUACGUGCCAGCAGCCGCGGUAAUACGUAGGUCCCGAGCGUUGUCCGGAUUUAUUGGGCGUAAAGCGAGCGCAGGCGGUUUGAUAAGUCUGAAGUUAAAGGCUGUGGCUCAACCAUAGUUCGCUUUGGAAACUGUCAAACUUGAGUGCAGAAGGGGAGAGUGGAAUUCCAUGUGUAGCGGUGAAAUGCGUAGAUAUAUGGAGGAACACCGGUGGCGAAAGCGGCUCUCUGGUCUGUAACUGACGCUGAGGCUCGAGAGCGUGGGGAGCGAACAGGAUUAGAUACCCUGGUAGUCCACGCCGUAAACGAUGAGUGCUAGGUGUUGGAUCCUUUCCGGGAUUCAGUGCCGCAGCUAACGCAUUAAGCACUCCGCCUGGGGAGUACGACCGCAAGGUUGAAACUCAAAGGAAUUGACGGGGGCCCGCACAAGCGGUGGAGCAUGUGGUUUAAUUCGAAGCAACGCGAAGAACCUUACCAGGUCUUGACAUCCCGAUGCUAUUUCUAGAGAUAGAAAGUUACUUCGGUACAUCGGUGACAGGUGGUGCAUGGUUGUCGUCAGCUCGUGUCGUGAGAUGUUGGGUUAAGUCCCGCAACGAGCGCAACCCCUAUUGUUAGUUGCCAUCAUUCAGUUGGGCACUCUAGCGAGACUGCCGGUAAUAAACCGGAGGAAGGUGGGGAUGACGUCAAAUCAUCAUGCCCCUUAUGACCUGGGCUACACACGUGCUACAAUGGUUGGUACAACGAGUUGCGAGUCGGUGACGGCAAGCUAAUCUCUUAAAGCCAAUCUCAGUUCGGAUUGUAGGCUGCAACUCGCCUACAUGAAGUCGGAAUCGCUAGUAAUCGCGGAUCAGCACGCCGCGGUGAAUACGUUCCCGGGCCUUGUACACACCGCCCGUCACACCACGAGAGUUUGUAACACCCGAAGUCGGUGAGGUAACCUUUUGGAGCCAGCCGCCUAAGGUGGGAUAGAUA